rnacentral:rRNA from 1 species
AUUGAACGCUGGCGGAAUGCUUUACACAUGCAAGUCGAACGGCAGCACGGACUUCGGUCUGGUGGCGAGUGGCGAACGGGUGAGUAAUACAUCGGAACGUGCCCAGUCGUGGGGGAUAACGUAGCGAAAGCUACGCUAAUACCGCAUACGAUCUAAGGAUGAAAGCGGGGGAUCGCAAGACCUCGCGCGAUUGGAGCGGCCGAUGGCAGAUUAGGUAGUUGGUAGGGUAAAGGCCUACCAAGCCGACGAUCUGUAGCUGGUCUGAGCGGAUGGUCAGCACCACGGGGGCUGAGACACGGCCCAGACUCCUACGGGAGGCAGCAGUGGGGAAUUUUGGACAAUGGGCGCAAGCCUGAUCCAGCCAUUCCGCGUGCAGGAUGAAGGCCUUCGGGUUGUAAACUGCUUUUGUACAGAACGAAAAGGCUCUGGUUAAUACCCGGGGCUCAUGACGGUACUGUAAGAAUAAGCACCGGCUAACUACGUGCCAGCCGCCGCAGUAA